ACAUUAGACGUACCCGGGUACGUCCCAGCCGUAAACAAUGUGCGUUAGGUGUGUCGGUAACCACGCGUUACUGAUGCGCCGAAGAGAAAUCGUGAAACGCACCACCUGGGAAGUACGGUCGCAAGGCUGAAACUUAAAGGAAUUGGCGGGGAGCACCACAACAGGUGGAGCCUGCGGUUUAAUUGGAUUCAACGCCGGACAUCUCACCGGAUAAGACAGCUGAAUGAUUGUCAAUCUGAAGGUUUUACAUGACUAGCUG
rnacentral:rRNA from 1 species